rnacentral:rRNA from 1 species
GAUCCUGGCUCAGGAUGAACGCUAGCUACAGGCUUAACACAUGCAAGUCGAGGGGCAGCAUUUUUAUAGCAAUAUAAAAGAUGGCGACCGGCGCACGGGUGAGUAACGCGUAUCCAACCUGCCCAUCACUUGGGAAUAACCUUGCGAAAGUAAGACUAAUGCCCAAUGAUAUCCCACGAAGGCAUCCGAAUGGGACUAAAGAUUUAUCGGUGAUGGAUGGGGAUGCGU